GCAAAAUUUGUGGAUUUUUUCUAAUAAAUUUUAAAUUUCUUUUCCGUCAAAAUAUUCUCCAAGAACAAACCUCGUUUCGAGUAAAAUGCCUGUUUUAUUGUAUGAGUUCAUGUCGGUGUAAAUGUCUAGAAGUAAAUGUAAUUACCACGAAUAAAUUUUCGAAAAGAGAGAGAGACACUGACUCCUAGCUAAACCGUUGGGUAGUUGAUGAUGUUUAUUGUUAUUUUGUUAACGCAAAUAUCAACGCAGUGAAGGCUGACAACGCUAAGCUGGGUAACAAAACAAUAAUAAUACAAAAAAAUCCCCAUACAAUUCCUAUCCAAUACAUAGGAAAUUAAACACACACACUAAAAGCAGGGGCAAAAGGGGAGACAGAAGACAGGUACUGGUAUGAGGAACAGUUUUUAGUGUAAACAAAAACAUACACAUACAUCUCUCCCUACUCACUAAACUAAAGAAGCAAAAAGAAAACAACACAACACUCGUCUCAUUGACACUCACACACAAAGUGCAAAUUGAAAAUGGAGAAGGAGAAUAAAAAUAAAUAAUAAUACUAACAACAACAACAUACACACACAAAAAACAACUAAAAAUGUAAACAAACUGAUUAUCAACGCAGCCAAUGAAUAAAUAACAUAAACAAAAACAACUUCCACGAUGACAACCAUGGAAAACAACAAAUAUAUAUAGUAUUAAAUAGCGUGGGGUGGGGAGAGGAGAGGAGGUGUUGUGCAAGAUGGGUAUGAAGCAGAUUUUGGUGUUGAGAUGACUAUGUAUAACAAUAAUACCAAUAACAACUAUAGAAAUUCCCCAAAGAAAGCACAAUUAUUGUAGAGUGAGUAAAGUAGAGUUCUAAUAAUACAUUUAUUAUUUUCAUUUAUUAUUUUAUUUUUUUUUUGAGAAUAUGUAUACACAUACCAACGUUACUCGCACUUUUAAACUCUCACCUAAAUAUCUUUUUUUUUCUUUUCUACACAUUUGCCUAACUGUCGUUUUGACUGACGAAAUGAAUAAAUAGCAAUAACAAACAAAUAUAGAUAAUAAAUAUAAACAACAUACCACAUCAAAUUUUCUUACUAAUGAUACGAACAAUUUAUAAAAUUGGAUACUUAAGGGAUGUCUCCUAAAAUUUAUAAUAAACAAUUUGAAAAUUUAAUACUUAAA